rnacentral:rRNA from 3 species
UGGGGAAUAUUGCACAAUGGAGGAAACUCUGAUGCAGCGACGCCGCGUGAAUGAUGAAGGCCUUCGGGUCGUAAAAUUCUGUCCUAGGGGAAGAUAAUGACGGUACCCUAGGAGGAAGCCCCGGCUAACUACGUGCCAGCAGCCGCGGUAAUACGUAGGGGGCGAGCGUUGUCCGGAAUUAUUGGGCGUAAAGAGUUCGUAGGCGGUUUUUUAAGUCAGAUGUGAAAGGCUACAGCUUAACUGUGGUAAGCAUUUGAAACUGGAAGACUUGAGUUAAGGAGAGGAAAGUGGAAUUCCUAGUGUAGCGGUGAAAUGCGUAGAUAUUAGGAGGAAUACCAGUGGCGAAGGCGACUUUCUGGACUUAUACUGACGCUGAGGAACGAAAGCGUGGGGAGCAAACAGG